CAUCAUUAACGUCGCUCAGAACUUAUAUGUUUUAAUUAAAAAAGGCGACUUGAAGAAAUGUGACGUUACGCAGACGACCGCGUUUCUUCUCAACAUCGCAAAGUCAACUGUUCUCAAGUACUACAAGAAAGACAUUGAAGAAGUUUCAACACCAGGAAAAAAGAGGAAAAAAAGGCCACAGGAAGGAAAGUCACUUGACACAGUCGACGAUUUCACAGUAAAUGCAAUCAGGAAUGCAAUUUACAGGAUGUACGCUGAAGGUUUGAAUGUUACAGUCGACACCAUUUUGAAAGAAAUCAGGGAAAGACAAAUAGAUUAUUAUGGUGGAAGAUCAAGUCUUCAUAAAUUGUUAAAGAAGAUGGGAUUUUCAUGGACAACUGUUGAUGGACGAAAAGCUUUGAUAGAGAAUGAAAACAUAGUAUUGAAGCGAA